rnacentral:rRNA from 1 species
UACGGGGGGGGCAAGCGUUGUUCGGAAUUACUGGGCGUAAAGGGCUCGUAGGCGGCCAACUAAGUCCGACGUGAAAUCCCCAGGCUUAACCUGGGAACUGCGUCGGAUACUGGAUGGCUUGAAUUCGGGAGAGGGAUGCAGAAUUCCAGGUGUAGCGGUGAAAUGCGUAGAUAUCUGGAGGAAUACCGGUGGCGAAGGCGGCUCACUGGAUCGGUACUGACGCUGAGGUGCGAAAGCGUGGGGAGCAAACAGG